CCUCUGCUUAGAUGAUAAGUUUCUGUAUCCACAAAAAUUAAAUCCUCCUGUUACCACUUACUGGAUCACUAAACCCCUCUAGAGUGGUGACUCCUGUGCCUUUACCCCUGGUCCUGUUUGGAGGCUGUGUGUGCUGCAGCCUGGGGAGAGGAAGCCCUGCUGACAGGACCGACAUCAGCAAGGGCAGCUGCACUGUCAGCUGCUUUAUAUAUUGUGGUUUCACUGCUUUAAGAGGUUUUUUUUUAAUCACUGCACUAGAUGAGUCAAGAAAAGAAAAUGUGCACCUAUAUUUCAGGAUUUCUAGCUCAGUCCACCCAGGCCUGACACAUCAUACCAUUUCUUGGUAGAACUGAGCUGUGAGUUAAAAACCAAGCAAACCACAUGCUUGUGUAAAGACCUUUCUUUCUGCCCUCUUCUCACUUGUUAUUUCUUACUGUCUUUCGUGCACCAGUCACAUUAUGCAUUUUCUUUUUGUGUUUUUAUGACCGCUGGGGUUCCUUUUAGAGGAAUACCAUAAGAGCGAAGAAAUUAAUGCAUCAAAGGACCUCAAGCAGAAAAAUCCAUCUGACCUGGUGACAGUUGCUCUGGGUUCAAUCAAAGAGUAGAGGAAAAAGCAACUUAACUGAAUUUGGUCAGAGAGAAACUUUGAAGCUCACAGCAAGGCUGUUAAGAUAUAUGCCCUUGGAAAUCUUGAAGGCACCAGGUGACGGUACCCAUGGUGACUGGUGGAUUUGAGGUCCUACCCAGAUGGAGAACUAAUGACCAUAUGUGUGCUUCCCAUGGCAACUGACUUGUCCACUUACUCCUAAAAGCAGCAGGGAGGUGACCUUAAGCCAGUGUCAGAUUCUAUCACUUAACAUGUGACACAACCCUUUCCUUUCCAGAAGAACUACAAACAUUUAAUUUCAGUGGAAGCAAUGUACACAAUCUUGUCCCUCAAAGUGUCUGGAAAAGCUUUAAAAAAAACUUUUAAUACUGGUACAAAUAAGUCAAACCUGUGACUACUUUUUAUGUCUUCAAAUACAAAGGCAUUAUUAUUUGAUAAGGUAUAUUUUAUAAGAAUAUGAAAUUUCUCCUUUUUAAUUGGCAGGUUUGAGGUAGCUUGAAACAGGGAAAUAUUGGCAAGAACACCAGACAUCAUGACUGGGAAAUGAGUUUUGUUCCUCACACUGAGGAGUCGUGG